rnacentral:rRNA from 1 species
GUGUCAGCAGCCGCGGUAAUACCGGCAGCCCAAGUGAUGGCCGAUCUUAUUGGGCCUAAAGCGUCCGUAGCUGGCCGCGCAAGUCCGUCGGGAAAUCCACCUGCCCAACUGAUGGGCGUCCGGCGGAAACUGCACGGCUUGGGACCGGAAGGCUCGAGAGGUACGUCCGGGGUAGGAGUGAAAUCCCGUAAUCCCGAACGGACCACCGAUGGCGAAAGCAUCUCGAGAAAACGGAUCCGACAGUGAGGGACGAAAGCUAGGGUCUCAAACCGGAUUAGAAACCCGAGUAGUCC